rnacentral:hammerhead_ribozyme from 1 species
AUCUAGUUGACGAGUUCAAAAUAGGAUAAAACGCGCGUUAAACUAGAU